AAAUUGAAGAGUUUGAUCAUGGCUCAGAUUGAACGCUGGCGGCAGGCCUAACACAUGCAAGUCGGGCGGUAGCACAGAGAGCUUGCUCUCGGGUGACGAGCGGCGGACGGGUGAGUAAUGUCUGGGAAACUGCCUGAUGGAGGGGGAUAACUACUGGAAACGGUAGCUAAUACCGCAUAACGUCGCAAGACCAAAGAGGGGGACCUUCGGGCCUCUUGCCAUCAGAUGUGCCCAGAUGGGAUUAGCUAGUAGGUGGGGUAACGGCUCACCUAGGCGACGAUCCCUAGCUGGUCUGAGAGGAUGACCAGCCACACUGGAACUGAGACACGGUCCAGACUCCUACGGGAGGCAGCAGUGGGGAAUAUUG
rnacentral:rRNA from 1 species